UUAACCUGGCGGCAGGGGCGUACCUGGAGCAUUUGGCACCCAGGGCGGAUCCUACAUUUGGCACCCCCCAGCUUAAAAAUGUAGAAAAAAAACCAAAGAUGUUUUUACAUGUAUUGAGCACUGAGCAGUGUUUGUGUGUUUGAAUGUAAGCAUGUUUUUGUAUGGAGUAUGUGUGAGUGAAUGUACGGGUGUGUUUGCACAUAUUGGCAUUUGAAUGCAGGUGUGCAUUUUUCUGAAGUAUGGUUUUUGAAUAAUGGUGUGUUUUAAUGUAGUGUUGACAUUUGGA